AUAUCAAUAAGCGGAGGAAAAGAAACCAACAGGGAUUGCCUCAGUAACGGCGAGUGAAGCGGCAACAGCUCAAAUUUGAAAUCUGGCUCUUUUAGGGUCCGAGUUGUAAUUUGUAGAGGAUGCUCCGGCGUCGGCUCCGGUCUAAGUUCCUUGGAACAGGACGUCAUAGAGGGUGAGAAUCCCGUAUGUGAUCGGUUGCCCUUGCCAUGUGAAGCUCCUUCGACGAGUCGAGUUGUUUGGGAAUGCAGCUCUAAAUGGGAGGUAAAUUUCUUCUAAAGCUAAAUACUGGCCAGAGACCGAUAGCGCACAAGUAGAGUGAUCGAAAGAUGAAAAGCACUUUGGAAAGAGAGUCAAAAAGUACGUGAAAUUGUUGAAAGGGAAGCGCUUGCAACCAGACCUGCCUGCAGUUGCUCAUCCGGGCUUUUGCCCGGUGCACUCUUCUGCUGUCAGGCCAGCAUCAGUCCGGGCGGUCGGAUAAAGGCUUCGGGAAUGUAGCUCCUCUCGAGGAGUGUUAUAGCCCGUUGCGAAAUGCGGCCAGCCUGAACUGAGGUCCGCGCUUCGGCUAGGAUGCUGGCGUAAUGGUUGUAAGCGG
rnacentral:rRNA from 1 species